CAGUAGCCGCGGGAAAACGUAGGUGGCAAGCGUUAAUCGGAAUUACUGGGCGUAAAGCGCACGCAGGCGGUCUGACAAGUCAGAUGUGAAAUCCCCGGGCUUAACCUGGGAACUGCAUUUGAAACUGUCAGGCUGGAGUCUUGUAGAGGGGGGUGGAAUUCCAGGUGUAGCGGUGAAAUGCGUAGAGAUCUGGAGGAAUACCGGUGGCGAAGGCGGCCCCCUGGACAAAGACUGACGCUCAGGUGCGAAAGCGUGGGGAGCAAACAGGAUUAGAUCCCCAGUAGUCCCUGUCUCUUAUACA
rnacentral:rRNA from 1 species